rnacentral:rRNA from 1 species
AGGAUAAACGCUGGCGGCGUGCAUGAGACAUGCAAGUCGAACGGACGAUCAGGGCUUGCUCUGAUCGUUAGUGGCGGACGGCUGAGUAACGCGUAGGUGACCUGCCCCGAAGUGGGGAAUAACUGCCCGAAAGGGUGGCUAAUACCGCAUGUGGUGGUGUGUUCAUUCACACCAGUAAAGCCGCAAGGCGCUUCGGGAGGGGCCUGCGUCCGAUUAGCUCGUUGGUGGGGUAACGGCUCACCAAGGCGACGAUCGGUAGGUGGUCUGAGAGGACGAUCACCCAGACUGGGACUGAGACACGGCCCAGACUCCUACGGGAGGCAGCAGUGGGGAAUCUUGCGCAAUGGGCGAAAGCCUGACGCAGCAACGCCGCGUGCGGGAAGAAGGCUCUCGGGUUGUAAACCGCUUUCAGAAGGAACGAAACUGACGGUACUUUCAGAAGAAGGUGCGGCCAACUACGUGCCAGCAGCCGC